CACGUAGGGGGCGAGCGUUGUCCGGAUUUAUUGGGCGUAAAGAGCUCGUAGGCGGCUCAGUAAGUCAGGUGUGAAAACUCCAGGCUCAACCUGGAGACGCCACUUGAUACUGCUGUGACUAGAGUCCGGUAGGGGAGCAUGGAAUUCCUGGUGUAGCGGUGAAAUGCGCAGAUAUCAGGAGGAACACCAGUGGCGAAGGCGGUGCUCUGGGCCGGAACUGACGCUGAGGAGCGAAAGCGUGGGGAGCAAACAGG
rnacentral:rRNA from 1 species